CCUACGGGGGGCAGCAGUGAGGAAUAUUGGUCAAUGGACGCAAGUCUGAACCAGCCAUGCCGCGUGCAGGAAGACGGCCCUAUGAGUUGUAAACUGCUUUUGUACGAGGGUAAACGCAGAUACGUGUAUCUGUCUGAAUGUAUCGUACGAAUAAGGAUCGGCUAACUCCGUGCCAGCAGCCGCGGUAAUACGGAGGAUCCAAGCGUUAUCCGGAUUUAUUGGGUUUAAGGGGUGCGUAGGCGGUCGGGUAAGUUAGAGGUGAAAUCCCGGGGCUCAACGUCGGAAUUGCAUUUGAUACUGGUCGGCUAGAGAGUAGUUGAGGUAGGCGGAAUGGAUGGUGUAGCGGUGAAAUGCUUAGAGAUCAGACAGAACACCGAUUGCGAAGGCAGCUUACUAAGCUACUACUGACGUUGAGGCACGAAAGCGUGGGGAGCAAACAGGAUUAGAUACCCUUGUAGUC
rnacentral:rRNA from 1 species